rnacentral:lncRNA from 1 species
UUUAGGUUGACCCGGAAUAACUCUGAAAAUAUGUCAUGUGAUAUUUGUAAACUUUAUCUUGAUCCUAAAUUAGAAACAUUAUAUAUUUUCACUUUCUUGAUAAUGGACUAUAUUUGAACGUGAUUUCUUCAGUUUGAUUGAUUGUCAGUACAGUAAAAUAGACGAUCUGCCAUGGGAGACACUUCUCUCGUACUAGAGGGCGAUUUCCUGUAUAUUCUAGUGCUGGUGAUUAUAGUGGCGCACCUGUCUAUCAUGGUGAUAGUUAUAUAUUAUUCUUGCUGUAGGAAAAAAUGUGUGUGUCGUAUAAAUAUACAAAACAACACUAUACAUCAAAACAGCUCAAGUGAAACAGCAAUUAGUGCAAGAAUAGCUCAAAGUGACUUAACCGACUCGGAUAGUGAAGUUGGAACUCACGAGAGACCAGUAACAAACGGGUCUACCUCAUUAAUUACACAAGUUCGAACCCGGCUACACGGUCAUACAGACACAACCGGACCUCCAGAAGUACAAACUACCGGGCUACCACCCCCAUAUUCUGGGCAUGAGAUCAGUGUUGAGUACACAAAUGCUGGUGCAAGUUUUGAAGAUAUAGAUCUGCAUUUACCGUCGUACGACGAUAUCGCCGGUCAAUUGCCGUCUUGGAGCGAAAUUCAAGAAACGGGACAAUAUGAAACUGAGAAACCGCCGACGUAUGAAGAGGCUGCAGCGGCAAAGAGGCGGGAAAGUUGAUAAACGUGUAGAUAGUACAAAAUUAACUAAUAUUAGAUUAUAGUGUUUACUUUGGUGUUCUUGCACUGCCACAAAAGUCCCAGUAUUGCUCACCUAGACUUUUUUCAUCCCAGACGAUCUAGUUUCCACUUUAAAGGUUUUAUGUAGAGCAUAAAACAACUGUGACCUCUAGAGUGUUAGCAAGGUGUUUCUGUGAUUUACCCUUCUGACCUAAUUUUGAACCUGGCCUACACAUUAUAAAGGCAAACAUGCUCAAAAGGUCUUCUGAUGUACAGAUAGCUAAUGUCGCCUCUUAGAUUUUAAGAAUUAAUUUAGUGGCAUAAUUUAGAGCCAAGAUGACCCAUUUAAAUACUCCAGAUUCUGACUAGUAAAUGUGGUCUCUACAAUGUUAACAAGAAUUUUCUGAUUUGACCUAGUAAUACUACUUUUUAACCUUAUAUGACGUGCAAUUUUAGCACCAAGAACAGUCAAAUGGAAACAUCUGAAAAAAGAGACAAAUAUUCUGACCUUGUUUUAUAUAAAUAAGGCAGACCAUUACCUAUGCUUUUCAAUUAUUUGACCAUGUCAAAUGGAAACAUCUGAAAAACCUUGAGACCUAGGUUUUUACCAAAGAGACCCAGUUACAAUUUAUCCUAUAUUUUAAACAGAGAAACAUUUUGUCUAAGUGUCAAGAAACUAACGAUUAGAUUUACACAAAAUUUGGACACUGUAGCAUCCUCGCAUAGACCUCUUUCGAGUUUGCUCAAAUGGUUUUGAUGGCUCCUUUAAAGGGCCGCCGGAUCGAAAACUAAAAUAUAGAAAAAAAUAAACGACUUCUUCUCAUGAGCCACCUGAGUGUGUGUGUUCGGGUUUAACGUCCUUUUCAACAAUUUUUCAGUCAUAUAAACGACGGCAUGAGCCACCUGAACUUAAUAUAUACGUAUAUUUGGCCCUGUCUCAUUUAUGCAUGGUUCAGCUUGGCCCCUUUUAGAGGACACAUGAGUGUAAAAUAGAAACACUUUAAAUGACCUCCUGAAAAAGAUGAUGGAUCGUCAACAAACUUGGUCUGCAGCGUCCUUGUCCCGGCUGUUUUCAUUUUUAUUCAAAUGGUUUCGCUUGGCUUCUUUUAUGGGCCACAGAGCUAAAAUAGAAAUAAAAUCUUAUGACCUUCACAUGAGCGUUCUGAUUGGUCUUCACCAUCCUCUCUCAUGUUUGUUAAAAUGGUUUUACUUGGCGUAUUUUUGGGGCCGCUAGAACUACAAAUAGACCAAAACCUUUAAAUGACUUCUUUUAAUGAACCACUGGAUGGAUUUUUCACUAAACUUAGUGUGCAGCAUCCUCUUAUACGUUGUCAAAUGGUUCCGUUAGUCCGCUUUAAUGAGCCAUCAGAGAUAAAAUAGAAAAAAUAUCUCAAGAACCAGAUGAUUGAUCUGUAGCAUCCUUAUGUUGUAUUCUUUCAAUUUCUUUUAAGGGGGUUCUGCUUGACCCCUUUCACGGGAGCCUAAGGUAAGAAAAAAACUUAAAACGACAUUUUCUCAUGAACCAUGUGAAGGAUCUUUAUAGCAUCUUUGUAUGGCCCUCUCUCAAGUUGUUAAAAUAGUUCUGUUUGGCAUCUUUCACGAGUGAACAGAGCUAAAAUGAAUAACCUUUCAACGACUUCUACUUAACAGAUCUUCGCAAAAUUUGGUUUGUAGUAUCCUUGUUUGAUCUUCUCUCAGUUUUGUUUACGUGGAAUAGCUUAGCCCCUUUUAAGGGCCGUUAGAAAUAAAAUAGAGAACAACAACCAUAAACGACUUGUUCUUAUACCACUUGAAAUAUCAUCACCAGAUUUGUUCUAAUAUUCCCCCGCCUUCACGAAAUAACCAUUGUCAUCGCAUCCAGAAGUAUUUUGUAAGCGAAAGUAUUUGAUAAUGGAUGAAACGUUUUAGUCAAAACACGUGAUGAUAUAAAAUUGUGUCGAUACUUUAUCUUUAGGUUGACCCGGAAUAACUCUGAAAACAUGUCAUGUGAUGUUUGUAAACUUUAUCUUGACCCUAAAUUUGAAACAUUAUAUAUUUUCACUUUCUUGAUAAUGGACUAUAUUUGAACGUGAUUUAUUCAAUUUGAUUGCAAGUACAGUAAAACAGAUUAUCUACCAUGGGCGACACCGGGCAAGACACUUCUCUCAUACCAGAGAACGAUUUUCCGUACCUUCUAGUGCUGGUGGUUAUAGUGGCGCACCUGUCUGUCAUGGCGAUAGUUAUAUACUAUUCUUGCUGUAGGAACAAAUGUGUGUGUCGUAUAAAUAUACAAAACAACACUAUACAUCAAAACAGUUCAAGUGAAACAAGAAGAAUUAGUGCAAGGAUAGCUCAAAGUGACUUAACCGACUCGGAUAGUGAAGCUGGUGAAGCUGGAACUCAAAGAUCGGUAACAAACUGGUCUACCUCAUUAAUUACACAAGUUCGAACCCGGCUUCACGGUCAUACAGACACAACCGGACCUCAAGUGGUACAAACUACUGGGCUACCACCCCCAUAUUCUGAACAUGAGACUAGUCUUGAGUACACAAAUGCUGGUGCAAGUUUUGAAGAUAUAGAUCUGCAUCUACCGUCGUACGACGAUAUCGCCGGUCAAUUGCCGUCUUGGAGCGAAAUUCAAGAAACGGGACAAUACGAAACUGAGAAACCGCCGACGUAUGAAGAGGCUGCAGCGGCAAAGAGGCGGGAAAGUUGAUAAACGUGUAGAUAGUACAAAAUUAACUAAUAUUAGAUUAUAGUGUUUACCUUGAAGUGUUCUUGCACCACAUACGCAGUGAAGUAAUUGAGUUAUGUUUUACAAUGGCAAUGAUUGAAUAUGAACUGAAAACGUCAGGGAUUUAUUCACAAAAUAUAUCACACUAAGCCUGUCAGGUACAGCAUUACACAUGCAUCAUACAACGAUCUAUGUUAAGUAGCUAAAUGCAUUACAUGUUGGACAAAAUCCGACGCCACUACUCUUGCACCAAUAUUUACAGUCGCCAGUAACUACGUAUUUCGUGCCACGCUUUAAAUAAGAUGAAGCGAACUAGGCAUCCGUCACUACAACUUAUAUUCAUCAGAGUGCCACGAAAGCCCAGUAUUGCUCACCUGGGCUUGUUUUAUCCCAGACGACCUAGUUUCCACUUUGACUUUUAUUUCAUUAAGAUGUAGAUCAGAUAAAAAAUGUGGUCUUCACGAGUGUUAACAAGGUCUUCCUAUGAUUUAACCUCGUUACCUAUAGGGACCUUGAUAAUCCAGUUUCAAACCUAAACUAGAUUUGAUUCAGGCAAACUUUCUGACAGACUUUUAUGAAGAUGUUGCCUCUACAGUAUUACAAAGUUUUUUUUCUAUGCUCUGACCCAAUGACCUAGUUUUUGACCUCAAAAACCCAAUUUCAAAGCUAACCUGGAUUUCAUGUAGAAAAACAUUUGGCUGAAAGUUUUAUGAAAAUGAGGUAGGAAAUUUUGACCCUAGAUGACCCAUUAUAUGAGAUCAUCCCUAUUUUAUUGAAGGGAACACUGUGACCAUUUUUCAUUAAGACUGGACAAAAACUGUGACCUCUAGAAUGUUAAAAGUGGACUUGCUGACAACAGAUGACGCUUAACGGACACAAGGCAAUCACAAUAGCCCAUUUUGAGCGCUUUGUGCUCUGAUGGGCUAAAAAUGGAUUGUUAGAAUCUAUUCAGAGUAAAUGAGGCUGUAAAAUCAUGGAAUUUUUGCAUGGCAUCCACUAUGAAAAUGAGCCGCGCCAUGGGAAAUCCAACAUAGUGCAUUUGCGGCCAGCAUGGAUCCAGACCAGCCUGCUCAUCAGUCUGGUCAGGAUCCAUGCUAUUUGCUUUCAAAGCCUAUU